rnacentral:tRNA from 1 species
GACGAUUUAACGGAGUUUUAACGCUUUUGACGCCUGGAAAGCGUGUAUAGGGGCAACUCUAUCAGGGGUUCAAAUCCCCUUCUCUCCGCCA